ensembl:lncRNA
CCGGGCGGCCGCGAGGCCACGGGGUCCGCGGCGCGCUCGCUCCGAGCGUCCUGGCCCGCGGCGGCGUGUCCCCGGGGCCCGCCGCUGCAGGCGGAACCGCCGCCCCCGGGAGGUGACCUAGAUUCGGGCGUCAGGGCGUCGCUCCCUGCGGCCUGCGGGCCCACAGCUCCUUCCCCGCGGCGUAGUCAGUCUGCGUCCUCGAGGACGCCUGGAGGGCCCCGGCCUACAGCGAGGACAAGCCACCGGGUCCCCAGGCCUCUGACUGGCCGGGCCUUCAGGUCCAGCCCCAGUGCGUCCGCCUCCGCCCGUGGCCCGUGGGCCGUAGAGCGCGGCUCGGUGCCAGGACCCACCAGUGCGUGAUGGUGAGGGAUGGGAGCGGGAAGGUGCACCGUCAAGCGCACAAAGACCCAGAAACCGCAGCAGCGGAGUGUGGCCAUGGAGUGGGGGCCACGGGAGGAAGGGCUGGUAUGGGAAGAUCUGAGCCACCGAGAAUGCCCUCGGUAGGGAUGGGAGUCACUCAGGAGGCUGAACUGGGAGUUCCCAGGUCUGACUCUCAUUCCAGAACCUUCUCUCAGCUCCUGCAGAGUGGGCUGCAGAAAGGACAAGCCAGGGGCCCUGCCAGGUGGUUCUUCCAGGGUCCAGGGACGGAGAUUUACAAAUCAGGUGUAGCAGGCUGUUCUGCCUGGAGAAAUACCACAGAGGAGGCAGCUCAAACAGCAGCAAUCCUUUCUCACAGUUCUAGAGGCUGAAAGUCAAAGACCAAACACCAGAGCUGUUUCCUGGUGGGGUCUCUCCUCCUUGGCUGGCAGACAGCUGCCUUCUGGCCUUGUCCUCAUGUGCCCUUUUCUCUGAGUGCGUGAAUUCCUGGCCUCUUCCUCUUUGGGGGACACCAGUCCCCUUACCCUGUUAGUUUAGGGCCCCACCCCAGAUGACUUAAAUACCUCCUUUUAAAAGGCCUUCACUACUAAUACAGACACAUUGGAGUUUAGGGCUUCAUCCAGGGGGUUUGGAGGAGACACAUCUUAGCUUAUAACACAGUAAAGGCAGCCAGAGAAGUUGAAGGAGAGCUGAUGGGCAGGGCCCUGGUUUCAGAGAGGCUUCUCCAAGGAGGAGGCUGCUUAUCAUUUGGUCUCAGCUCCAACGGUUUUUCUUGGCAAGGCUAUCUCUGACAGCCCAUCUAAAAUUUGCUCACUAGCCCAGCACCCUACUUGUUCUAUACAGCGUGGUAUUACCCAGUGCCACCAAGAUCCAAGGAUGCAAAUGUGUACAACCACUGAUGAAAUCACCUGGUCACCUCCUCAAUCAUGAGUCCUUGUUUGUGGUCUGCCUCCUCCCAGACAGAACAGCAGAGGCCCUGCUCAUUUYAUUUUAUAUUCUCAGCCCCAGAAUAGUGCCCCAAAGUCCUAAAGUCCUACAUGCUGCUUCUUUUUUUUUUUUUUUAAGUGAGAGAGAGAGAGUAUUUUUUUUAAUGUUUAUUUUAUUUCCUUUUUUUUUUUUUAGUUUUUAGCAGACACAACAUCUUUGUAUGUGGUGCUGAGGAUCGAACCCCGGGCCGCACGCCUGCCAGGCGAGCAUGCUACCGCUUGAGCCACAUCCCCAGCUCCAACUAAAUGCUUCUUGAAUGGGUGUCUCCUGCAACCUUGGGGUAGGACUUGAAGGAUGAGCUACAGAUUUGCAGAUGCAGGGGUGUGUGGAAAGAGAGGGAAGAACUUCAGUCAGACUGAAAGACAAGCUGGUUGGCAAGAUGUCAGGGAGGUGAGAACAGAGACGCAGGCCAGUCCUUUAAGCAACAGGAAGCUGGAGAUGAUUCUGCGGGUACAAGGAAAAAGUAGCUUGGAUUGUACAUUUUUUACCUUUACCAAAGCAAAUUAAGUGGCUUAAAACAACACAGCUUGUCUUACCACUCUAGAGGUGCCAGGUCUGAGAUGGAUUACGCUGAGCUGAAAAGGUACUAGCCAGGCUGGUUCCUCCUGGCGGCCUUGGGGCAGAGCCUGUUCCCUUGUCUGUUGUGGCUUCUCAGGGUCCCCUGCAUUCCUGGCAUCUUGGCCCCUUCCGUCUUCAGAGCCUGUGGCCUGUGGGGCCUUGCUCCCGAAGCGUCUCUCUGGGCUUCCAACAUCAUUUCCUCUCCUCUGACUCUUCACCUCCCUCCUUCCCUUUUAGGGCCCUUGUGAUUGUUUGGGGCUCACCUGGACGAUCCAGGUGGCCUCCCUCCUCAGGAGCCUUCACUUCAUCACAGCGCAGAUUCCCUUUUGGCAGGUAAGAUUCACAAGUUCUUGGGGUUAGGAGGUGAACAUCCCUGGGGACCCAUUGUCCUGCCUGCCACGGGGAGCAAAGCCAAGCAGGCAGGACUGUGACUGGACCAGCUGUCGGGGUUCUGCCUCUCGCCCCCUGGCAAGGCGAUGACCCCUGCCUCUGAUAUGCCAUUGGACUAUCAGAUGCUAAGUAAAACAGAUGGAGUUGCUGCCUCCUCAGCUUGUACCCUAGUGGAGAGAAUUUUUCAGACUCUUUGCUAUUAUUACACUGGACAUGGAUGUUCUCUGAGGACCCAACGUUGAAUAAAGAUACCUGCUCUGUACA